CGAGAGCUCCCCAUAAAUCUAUGGAAGAAAAAGAUAUUGAUGUUAGACUCAAGUGGCUUGGAUUGUUCCAUCACAGAAGCAUCAGUCUAUAUGGUAAGCUUUCGAUGAGUUGUGGAGUUACCUGAUGGUGUGACCAAAGUGCACAGACUUGGUGCUAAGCGAGUGUGAUUGGGAAGUGUGGUGAAGAUGGAUGUUCUGAUGUGACAAAUAGACAAAACUAACAGUUCUGCGGGUGUUUUGUUGUGUGAUGUUCCUGAGACCUUAAUAUGUCUUGCUGCUGUUGAGUUAGCAAGUAUCUUACAGUGGGAUGGAUAAUUUGAGGAACCCUGUUGUGAUUUCUUUAGCUCAUAUUGACCGGAUUAGAUAGUGGAUAGAAGACCUUACACGAAUCUUCUCUAGCAGUUUAUCAUUGCAACUCCAGUGGAAACCUGAUUUCACCAAGUUAUAAGUUUAUAUUUCCGUCUUUCAUGUGAAAAUUGUGUUGUUCACUGAAUGAUUAUGCUAAAGAGGGGGUUUUGUUUUGUUUAUUGCAGGAUGAGAUAGUGGAAUAUCUGUUGUUGGGACUCAUGAUCUAUAUGACCAUCCACAUAUCAUUGAUGUAGCUUAACAUAGCUUUUAAUAAAGAUGGUCGGUCUGGAUUCAAUUCCUUAUUGGAGGAAUAUGUAGUCCCAAAAGAUGUAAAGAAGUUAUUCCUCUUGAUGCUUGGGUCCUGCUGAUAAAGUAAUUCACUCUGCAGAGCUUCUUAACGCCUACAAGACAGGAUAUCAACGGCCAGAACACACCAACACACAUCCAAAAUGUUCAGUUGAAGCUAGAAAUUGUAAAUUUUCUAAUCAGUUCGUAUCUAUGGUUCUUCAUAAUAUCUCUACAUUUAAGAAUGUAACAUUUUACUCAUUCUUUCAUUAUCAUUCCAUGUUUCGUUUUUG